rnacentral:rRNA from 1 species
CCUACGGGAGGCAGCAGUCGGGAAUAUUGCACAAUGGAGGAAACUCUGAUGCAGUGACACCGCGUAUAGGAAGAAGGUUUUCGGAUUGUAAACUAUUUUAGACAGGGAAGAAAAAAGACAGUACCUGUAGAAUAAGCUCCGGCUAACUACGUGCCAGCAGCCGCGGUAAUACGGAGGGUGCAAGCGUUACUCGGAAUCACUGGGCGUAAAGAGUGCGUAGGCGGGGUAAUAAGUCAGAUGUGAAAUACUGUAGCUUAACUACAGAACUGGAUUUGAAACUGUUACUUUGGAGUGUGGGAGAGGUG